rnacentral:rRNA from 1 species
GACGAACGCUGGCGGCGUGCUUAACACAUGCAAGUCGAACGGUGAAGGGGCCUGCUUUUGUGGGUCCUGGAUGAGUGGCGAACGGGUGAGUAACACGUGAGUAACCUGCCCCCUUCUUCUGGAUAACCGCAUGAAAGUGUGGCUAAUACGGGAUAUUCUGUGCCUGCUGCAUGGUGGGUGUGGGAAAGAUUGCGCCCUUUUUGGGUGUUUUUGGUGGGGGAUGGGCUCGCGGCCUAUCAGCUUGUUGGUGGGGUGAUGGCCUACCAAGGCGGUGACGGGUAGCCGGCCUGAGAGGGUGGACGGUCACACUGGGACUGAGACACGGCCCAGACUCCUACGGGAGGCAGCAGUGGGGAAUAUUGCACAAUGGGCGCAAGCCUGAUGCAGCGACGCCGCGUGAGGGAUGGAGGCCUUCGGGUUGUGAACCUCUUUCGCCAGUGAAGCAGGCCUGCUCCUUGGUGGGUGGGUUGACGGUAGCUGGAUAAGAAGCGCGGCUAA